rnacentral:rRNA from 1 species
UACGUAGGCAGCGAGCGUUGUUCGGAAUUACUGGGCGUAAAGAGUGUGUAGGCGGUGUUCCCAGUCUGUUGUGAAAUCUCCCGGCUUAACUGGGAGGGUGCAGCGGAAACUAGAAUGCUAGAGGGUGGGAGAGGUAAGCGGAAUUCCUGGUGUAGCGGUGAAAUGCGUAGAUAUGUGGAGGAAACACCAAUGGCGAAGGCAGCUCGCUGGG